GGCUGAUUUUUUUUCCUUUUUGCUGGGCUUUGUAUUUUUUAUUUUUUUCUUUGCUUGGUGCAACUCACCGCCUAUUGAUUAUCUCAAGAUGGUUUAUUCCACCGCCUCAAAUCCACAACUUUAAUCUUCUUCUUAAAUCUUCUUCACCCAGAAAAGCAUCAAUCCACCUUUCUCUUCUCAACAUUCUUUCUAUUUCUCUCGCUGGGUUUGAACUAGAUUCCCACCGCCUCUAUUUCUUUGCGAAAAGAUGCUAAUCUCCCUUCUUUUGUUCUGAUGGUCCAUGGUUAGUUUAAUCCGUUCUCAUACUUCUACACACUACCGUUCACCAAUAAGAUUUUCAAAGCAAAAAUUCCCAUGCCCUUAGGUUAUUCUUGCCUGUGAUUUUCGACGACCUAAAUAGGUUGAGGGAAGAUGUGUUUACAGUCUUUUGUGUCAGGUUUUUCAUAUUCUCUUCAAAAUCGACCAACUAAAUGAAGUAUUCUCUCAUCCAUUGGCCGGAAACAAGUUUACACUUUUGUUUUGGGUGAAAAAGAGUAUUAUCAAAAGCAAUUUGCAACAUUGAAGUCUUUUGCGGAAACUCUAAAAUUGCAGUGAACUCCGUUUGUAUCAACGAUGCCCAGAUGGCAUCGAUUAACGAGUGGUAAUCAUCGAAUUGCAAGGUGUUGUUGAAGUUCGACAAGCCUUCCAAGUGUGCUUGCGAAAUCUCCAAAUUGGUCUUCUUUGUCGCCCUUCUUCUCAGGCUCGUGGUUGCAAGUUCAUUGGUUGGGUGGUGGAGGAUCAGAAAUGUGCUUGUAUGAACAUAAGGAUGAAGCUUGAACAAUAAAAUCUAAAACUGGAGUUGUAUUUAGCUAUUAGUUGGUUUCUGUUUGUGUCAAUUCUAGUGUACAAAGUAUAGGAUAAGUUCUUAGACCAAAGUUGGAUGUUUCAGUUUAAAUGUUAAUGAAAAUUGGGUGUUUUUUUGGAUGUACCAGUUUAAAUGUUAAUGAAAAUUGGCUGUUUUUUUGGUAAUUGCCAAACAUGUAUUCAGACCA